AUUUCUAAGGUUACUAGCUUACCAUGGAUGGCUGUAGUGAAGGUAUAGCCACAAGACUGAGGAAUCAAUACAGCAUACAUCUGUUAGCAACACAGGAGGCCAACUUGAAGUUAGGUCAGAAAGGAUAUAUUCAAAAAGUUCCCAAAGUUCUGAUUCCUACGUGUUUCUGAAAUGUGCCCCUUCUUGUAUCAGUUGGGGUCCAUCUGAUAAAGAACACCUUUGAAAUCUAUCUUGGGUGAGAGAAAGAUUGGUCCUCAGAGCAUUGCUGGUUUGGAUGAUGGAAAAGGUGAGAUGCCAAACAGAAGACAAGGCCACUCACGUUAGCUGUAGCAGGAAGCUAUAAUCAGCGCUGGGCUGUGUGGACAAAGAGAGGAAGUAGUGUUUCCACAGCCAAGGGUGGGAUCCCUGGACUGCAGCCAGGACUGGAGCAUGCGUGCACAGAGGCAGCUGAAGCCAAAGAGGAAAUACAACUGCUGCUGAUUAUUGCAUGCACAUCUUGAAUCUGGGCUUACCCAGUGGAGAAUUCAAGUUGACAAUAGCAACGGAAGCUGACAUGUCUUGUUGGAGCAGAGUGUCCUGCUCUCCCGUGCUCUCCCAAGGGAAUGAAAUACCAAACCUUGUCCAAAAUGUCAACGAUGAUGCACCUCUCCUCCUGGAGCAGAGCUUCUGGAGUCCAGGCAGCUACUUUCCCAGCUGAAAAAUGCCGGUGAACCAGCACGACAAGGCUGUCAUGAGUACCAGCUUACGGUUACUGGCAAACAGCAAGCACAAUUAAAUUUCAGUAUUGAGUCACCUGUCAACUGAUCAGACUUCAACUCCGACUCCUACUGCUGAGUUUUCAGGCUGCGUGGGAUUUUUGCCAUAUUGAGCUUAGCUUGCAUUAAUUGAUGUGUGCUGUUAAAUUCUAGAAGAGCCACAUUGUUUUUACAGAGGAUAUAUGCUCGUGGUUUAGAACAUGUGUGAUGCACACCUUUCUUGUUUCUUAGCUGUGAGUUCUUCAGCCCAGAAAGGUCGACUACAGGCGUUGAUUUGGGGCAAAGAGACAGAAAACAAGUCACCUUUUUCCUUUUUUUCUGGUUAAAGAACCUACACAAAUACCAAGUGAGUCUCCUCCACACAUGAAUCUUUUCUGUCAGUUCAGUGGGAGUUUUAUGUGGGAAUAAAGAAGAGAAAAUGUC